UCGAUAGUCUCUGCAAAUAUAGA
rnacentral:siRNA from 1 species